ACUGUGGCCCGAUCUCAUUCAGGAUGUUCACUUUACCAACUUUUCAUCCAUCUACCUGCACUGCCAGGUCCACCUGUGCCUUCUGAAACACAACAGAUCUGCUCUGCUCAUUGCUACCCAGGUUACCACAUGCGAAUUAAGAGGGAUGUAUCCUACCAUGCUGCUACAGACAUCUCACUUGGACCACUAAUCCUGAGACAAGAUAGCCCAGAUGGAAGGAUGAAAACAAGCAGUGCUACAGGCCAGUUGACCUCUUUGGUGACCCUGCUAGUCAGUUUGCUGGCUGCCAAAACUCUGACCUAGAGAGAUUGGAGAGGCACAAAAACAGUAAACAGAUGAAUAUACACAUAUUACUCCGGAACAUAUUAAUCAAUCAGUAGUAGAUAAAUCAAUGGGCAUAGAUUUUAGAAUGGUCAGUAAUCUUUCUCGGUUGUGAUCCAAUAAAAAGUGGAAUGAGAUACCUUUUUGUCAUGUGAAGGCCUGAAAAAUGUAUAGAUAUUACAGAAUAAUAGGAAAUAUAUCCUAUACUUUGCUUUUUAUUUGUAUUCUUCCGUAAGAGGCUUUGUUUAAAGUUGUGGUAGUUUUUUCUUCGCAACAUUAGAGGGCAGCACAAGAUCAAAUAGACAUUUGGCUCUGUUUUCAUGAAGUUUCCUGCCCACAGUUUUGUAUUUUGACAUGUUUAUGAGUUGUAUCCUCCAGGCUUUAGCAGUGAUUUUUAUUAGUCUAAAAUCUAUAUUUUAUUAGUGUUAAUCAUUAAUAAUGAAGAUGUAAAUGAUAUAUGAGGUGUGAUAAAUUUGUGUGAAAUAUGAAUCCUCAGCAAAUCACUCAGUAUACUAUAUUACUAUAUAUAAUAUUUGGAUUGUAUUUCUGUAAAAAUAGUAAAAACAGUAGGCAAUGACAAUGUGCAUCAUACAAAAGCUGAACUCCCUUGCCUUUGUUAUACUCACUGUCUAUGACUUUUACUUAUUAUUAUUCUUAUAUCCUUGUACCUUAUUUGUGGUGAUUAAUAUCAUUAGAUAUCUGUCAUAUAAGAACUAAUUCUAUAAUAAAGGUUAAAAGAUGAGGUGAUUUCAUGCAUGGA